GACGAACGCUGGCGGCGUGCUUAACACAUGCAAGUCGAACGGAAAGGCCCUGCUUUUGUGGGGUGCUCGAGUGGCGAACGGGUGAGUAACACGUGAGUAACCUGCCCUUGACUUUGGGAUAACUUCAGGAAACUGGGGCUAAUACCGGAUAGGAGCUCCUGCUGCAUGGUGGGGGUUGGAAAGUUUCGGCGGUUGGGGAUGGACUCGCGGCUUAUCAGCUUGUUGGUGGGGUAGUGGCUUACCAAGGCUUUGACGGGUAGCCGGCCUGAGAGGGUGACCGGCCACAUUGGGACUGAGAUACGGCCCAGACUCCUACGGGCGGCAGCAGUGGGGAAUAUUGCACAAUGGGCGGAAGCCUGAUGCAGCAACGCCGCGUGCGGGAUGACGGCCUUCGGGUUGUAAACCGCUUUCGCCUGUGACGAAGCGUGAGUGACGGUACUGGGUAAGGAAGCACCGGCUAACUACGUG
rnacentral:rRNA from 1 species